UUCCAGACUCCUACGGGAGGCAGCAGUGAGGAAUAUUGGUCAAUGGGCGGAAGCCUGAACCAGCCAAGUCGCGUGAGGGAAGAAGGCCCUGCGGGUCGCAGACCUCUUUGGACGGGGAGCAAGGCCGCCGACGUGUCGGCGGAAGGAGAGUACCCGUAGAACAAGCAUCGGCUAACUACGUGCCAGCAGCCGCGGUAAUACGUAGGUGGCAAGCGUUGUCCGGAUUUACUGGGUGUAAAGGGCGUGUAGCCGGGCCGGCAAGUCAGAUGUGAAAUCCCAAGGCUCAACCUUGGAACUGCAUUUGAAACUGUUGGUCUUGAGUAUCGGAGAGGCAGGCGGAAUUCCUAGUGUAGCGGUGAAAUGCGUAGAUAUUAGGAGGAACACCAGUGGCGAAGGCGGCCUGCUGGACGACAACUGACGGUGAGGCGCGAAAGCGUGGGGAGCAAACAGGAUUAGAUACCCGCGUA
rnacentral:rRNA from 1 species